UCUCCGUUGGUGAACCAGCGGAGGGAUCAUUACAGAGUUGCAAAACUUCCAAACCAUUGUGAACGUUACCUAUCCCGUUGCUUCGGCGGGCGGCCCGGGCCCCGCGCCCGGCGCCCCCCGGCCCCCCGUGGGCGCCCGCCGGAGGUAAACCAAACCCUUGAAUUGCAUGGCCUCUCUGAGUCUUCUGUACUGAAUAAGUCAAAACUUUCAACAACGGAUCUCUUGGUUCUGACAUCGAUGAAGAACGCAGC
rnacentral:misc_RNA from 1 species